CUUCUCUUUCCUUUAGGAAGUGAACCCUUCUCGCACAGUUCAAGUUCUGCUCUAGGGACCAAGCUAUGGUUUGGUUUCAUUCACUGAUGCUGUCAUUUCUGCCAUAGUUACUGGACUAGAUGGUUGGACAACUCAAUUGCCAUUUGCUCCCGUCCUUCGGGGGAACACCAUUCUUCAUCAGAGCCCAAGAGAUUAUUUGAGACUCAGGAUUUGGAUCAGAGGUUUGACUGUGUCUGGGACAGGAAUUACGUGUAGAAAUCCCCCAGGUGGCCUGGGCACCAAGGGACUUCAUGCCUACACUGAGCAGCCUCUCCUGCUGACCUUUCUUAUUUGUGGAUGAAAAAGCACGUGUCACCCCCAUUCAUCACUUGGACACAUCGACUCUGCGUCAUCUGGUCACUUGACCCUCACAGUCUUAGAGCACAAAAUACCCGGGCUGGGCCCGAGGUGUGUCGAAGGAGGAGCUCCUCCCUGCGGCUUUGUGUACGUGUGUGUGUGUGCGUGUUCGUGUGUAUGUGUGUGUUUACCUCCGCUCUACACUUGGGGGACACUCGACACUCGGUGUAAGAUAUGCUGGGAACAGGACCACCGGGGUGGUUGGAUCUAAGUCUCUCUGUCUCUCUCCUUUCCCUUUUGAUGUAUCGAACAUUUGAUUGACAAAGUGAAGGCCUUGAUGAGGACCAUAUUUCUGUGUCUGUUGCUAUGGUCUUUAUUUAGGACAACAGUUAAUGCAGUGGCCCAUUCUUGUCACUCUAUACAUAUGACUAUACGGGGACGUAUGUAAUAUAUAAAUAUAUAUAAAAAACAUUACCCUCUGUCUCCUUGGCUUCAGAUGAGGCCUCUCUGUUGAGCUCAAAUGCAACUGCAGCUUGGUGCUGCCGGCAGCCUGCCGUCCAGCCCUGUCCAGAUUAACACAGUCGAUAAUAAAGGAAUGAGUAUCGUCACAGAA